CCUAGAUCCCUCGCAUGCGCAGUUUACAAUACCGUUCGUGCUCCUCUGAGAAUCAAAUGCCACCACUGAUCUGACAGGAGGCGGAGUUCUGCGGUAACAUGAGUGAUGAGGAGUGGCUGCAAAUACAGAUGAAGCUUCGUUUGCUCACUUCCUGUUGUGUGGCCCAGACAGGGCACUGUCUGUGGCCCCAGGGGUUGAGGACCCCUGGCUUUAACAACAGAAAGACCCCAGUUACUGGAUUGGGAUCCACCCUCACUCAAUAUGGCCUCAGCUUAAUGAAAGACAUCUGCAGAGACCCUAUUUCUACUAAAAGCCACAUUCUGAGACUUCUCGUGGGCGUGAGUUUUUGAGAGACACUGUUCUGCUCCAUGCAGGGAGGGAAUUGGGAUCUGAAGACGUUGCAUUCGAGGUCUCGGGGCUCCUGAUGAGCAGCCUCGGCCUGACCUGGGGCAGGUGUGAUGUCUGCGGCUCACCAUCUCCACCCUGCCUGCUGUGGAAUCUCCACAACGACAGGUGCUUUGGAGGCCAGAGUGCAUGCGUACGGGCCCUGCACACGCUGAAUGUCACUGGGAACAAGGACACACCCCGCUUCCAGGAGAAGAUAGAACAUGUCGACCCCUUUUAGCCAUCCCCAGUGCAGGACAUGCUAUUGACUUCCAUGAGACAAACACCUACUUGGAAAUCAGGUUUUUUCUGUACCUUUUGAAGGAGCAGGAAUUUCCCAGCAUUUCCUGGACAAAGACGGAGGCCACAUUCGCUGCAUCCUUUCCAGCAAGAUGUCAUUCUGAGAUUUUUGUCAUUCCUGGGCGUUAUGAGGACUGCCAAGGGACACAAUUCCAUGGGAGGAAAGUUUUCUUCUAAGCUGCAAGCCAGCUCUGGCUUCUGGAGUUUCUCCUUAGGAUUGCAAGACAGUAGUUCCCUGUCCUUUAGGUCUUCUCCAGAAAUACCUUAAAAUAGCAAAUAAAAUAAGAUAUAAGCAAACAAAACCUGAAGUUAAC
rnacentral:lncRNA from 10 species